AAAAGAGAAAGAAAGAAACAUAAAGAAUAAAAGAAGAGAAAUAGAAGGAAAGAAGAGAAGAAAGAAAGAAGAAGAAGAAAAGCUCUUGGAAAGAUCAUCAUCAGCUUCAAUCCUCAUCAUCUUCAUCUAUCAAGAAUGAGUCUUCGUGCAAUCGAUUUACACCUCUAUUUUCACUAUAAAAUGAGUUUCGUAACUCAGAAUGAGGCGUGGUCAGAUGCAUUGGAAAGCUAGUUCAAUGCUCUAAUGCUUGGUGAGAUAAAAUCAUACUUAUAUUUUAAUUAUCACUUGGCUGAUGGUAUUAUACUAUUAUGUACGUUUAUGACUUAUUUCCCUGAUUCCACCAUAAACAGGAUUCAUAACUUUGGUAAAAGCGAGGGUUGAAUGCAUUGGAUCAUUAAUCCAAUGUUAUAUCCUUUUAUGAAUUAAAAAUCAUGCAUGUAUAUUUAAUAAUGCAUGAUGAGAAAUGUUGAACUCUUAUACUUAUGUUAUGAACUAUGUUAUGAAAUGUUGUUUGAAUGCAUAAUAAUUAGUUAAAACCUA